rnacentral:rRNA from 1 species
UUCCGGUUGAUCCCGCCGGAGGUUACUGCUGUCGAGGUUCGACUAAGCCAUGCGAGUCGAAUGUAGCAAUACAUGGCGAACUGCUCAGUAACACGUGGACAACCUGCCCUUAGGACGGGGAUAAACCCGGGAAACUGGGUAUAAUACCCGAUAGGUCUCGAUUGCUGGAAUGCAUCGAGAUUUAAAGCUCCGGCGCCUAAGGAUGGGUCUGCGGCCUAUCAGGUAGUAGUGGGUGUAGCGUACCUACUAGCCUACGACGGGUACGGGUUGUGAGAGCAAGAGCCCGGAGAUGGAUUCUGAGACACGAAUCCAGGCCCUACGGGGUGCAGCAGGCGCGAAAACUUUACAAUGCUGGCAACAGCGAUAAGGGAACCUCGAGUGCCAGGUUACAAAUCUGGCUGUCGAGAUGCCUAAAAAGCAUUUCAUAGCAAGGGCCGGGCAAGACCGGUGCCAGCCGCCGCGGUAACACCGGCGGCUCGAGUGGUAACCGUUAUUAUUGGGUCGAAAGGGUCUGUAGCCGGCCGGAUAAGUCUCUUGAGAAAUCUGGCAGCUUAACUGUCAGGCUUUCAGGAGAUACUGUCUGGCUCGAGGCCGGGAGAGGUGAGAGGUACUUCAGGGGUAGGGGUGAAAUCUUGUAAUCCUUGAAGGACCACCAGUGGCGAAGGCGUCUCACCAGAA